UACGUAGGGGGCAAGCGUUGUCCGGAAUCAUUGGGCGUAAAGCGCGCGUAGGCGGCCCGGUAAGUCCGUUGUGAAAGUCAAAGGCUCAACCUUUGAACGCCGAUGGAUACUGCCGGGCUAGAGUCCGGAAGAGGCGAGUGGAAUUCCUGGUGUAGCGGUGGAAUGCGCAGAUAUCAGGAGGAACACCAAUAGCGAAGGCAGCUCGCUGGGACGGUACUGACGCUGAGGCGCGAAAGCGUGGGGAGCAAACAGG
rnacentral:rRNA from 1 species